rnacentral:rRNA from 1 species
GAGUUUGAUCGUGGCUCAGGAUGAACGCUGGCGGCGUGCCUAACACAUGCAAGUCGAACGGAUCCAUAUUGAAACCUAGUGAUGUAUGGAUUAGUGGCGGACGGGUGAGUAACGCGUGGAUAACCUGCCGUAUACAGGGGGAUAACACUUAGAAAUAGGUGCUAAUACCGCAUAAGCGCACGGUUCCGCAUGGAACAGUGUGAAAAACUCCGGUGGUAUACGAUGGAUCCGCGUCUGAUUAGCCAGUUGGCGGGGUAACGGGCCCACCAAAGCGACGAUCAGUAGCCGGCCUGAGAGGGUGAACGGCCACAUUGGGACUGAGACACGGCCCAAACUCCUACGGGAGGCAGCAGUGGGGAAUAUUGCACAAUGGGGGAAACCCUGAUGCAGCGACGCCGCGUGAGUGAAGAAGUAUUUCGGUACGUAAAGCUCUAUCAGCAGGGAAGAAAAACCGGCCUUAGGGCCGCCAGACGGUACCUGACUAAGAAGCCCCGGCUAACUACGUGCCAGCAGCCGCGGUAAC